rnacentral:piRNA from 1 species
UUAAAUGGGUUAACUCAUUUGAGGUCUCUGA